GACGAACCGUCCAAACGUUAUUCGGAAUUACUGGGCGUAAAGGGCUCGUAGGUGGCCAACUAAGUCAGACGUGAAAUCCCUCGGCUUAACCGGGGAACUGCGUCUGAUACUGGAUGGCUUGAGUUCGGGAGAGGGAUGCGGAAUUCCAGGUGUAGCGGUGAAAUGCGUAGAUAUCUGGAGGAACACCGGUGGCGAAGGCGGCAUCCUGGACCGACACUGACACUGAGGAGCGAAAGCCAGGGGAGCAAACGGG
rnacentral:rRNA from 1 species